UGUAAGCGUAUACCAAAGUUGUUGCAGUUAAAACGCUCGUAGUCGGAAUUUGGCAGUUCCGGAUGUGUGCACGUCGUGUGCGCACUUCGCGGGGAUUGCUUUUGUGGUCUUGCGUAGGAUGAGGCACUUUUAUUAGUGAACGUCCUCACGCAACCACUUUUUACUGUGAGAAAAUCAGAGUGCUCAAAGCAGGCAUUUGCCGUGAAUGUAUUAGCAUGGAAUAAUAGAAUAGGACUUGGUUCUAUUUUGUUGGUUUGUUGGGACUGAGUAAUGAUUAAGAGGGUCAGUUGGGGGCAUUUGUAUUUCGGUGCUAGAGGUGAAAUUCUUAGAUUACCGAGAGACAAACUGCUGCGAAAGCGUCUGCCAAGGAUGUUUUCAUUGA
rnacentral:rRNA from 1 species